UACGGAGGGUGCGAGCGUUGUCCGGAAUCACUGGGCGUAAAGGGCGCGUAGGCGGCCUGAUAAGUAGGGGGUGAAAUCCUGCGGCUUAACCGCAGGGCUGCCUUCUAAACUGUCGGGCUGGAGCACGGUAGAGGCAGAUGGAAUUCCCGGUGUAGCGGUGGAAUGCGUAGAGAUCGGGAAGAACAUCAGUGGCGAAGGCGGUCUGCUGGGCCGUUGCUGACGCUGAGGCGCGACAGCGUGGGGAGCAAACAGG
rnacentral:rRNA from 1 species